rnacentral:rRNA from 1 species
GAUGAACGCUAGCGGCAGGCUUAAUACAUGCAAGUCGAGGGGCAGCACGGUUAGCAAUAACUGGUGGCGACCGGCGCACGGGUGCGUAACACGUAUACAAUCUACCUUAAACAGGGGGAUAGCCUUUCGAAAGAGAGAUUAAUACCCCGUAAUAAAUUGAACGGCAUCGUUUGAUUUGAAAGCUCCGGCGGUUUGAGAUGAGUAUGCGUCUGAUUAGCUAGUUGGUGAGGUAACGGCUCACCAAGGCGACGAUCAGUAGGGGAUCUGAGAGGACUAACCCCCACACUGGUACUGAGACACGGACCAGACUCCUACGGGAGGCAGCAGUUAAGGAAUAUUGGUCAAUGGAGGCAACUCUGAACCAGCCAUUGCCGCGUGCAGGAUGACGGCCCUAUGGGUUGUAAACUGCUUUUAUACAAGAGAAAACCCUGGUACGUGUACCAGGUUGAUAGUAUUGUAAGAAUAAGCAUCGGCUAACUUCGUGCCAGCAGCCG